CUAAUUCAAAAUUUGUAUUGACACAUUACACGUCUUAUGCAGGUCCUUUCUCCAAAGGAGAGGCGUGCAGUUUACAUAGACCCUCUAGGAGAAACACCUGACCACAUAAUCAAAUGCAGGGAUGUAACACGAUUGAAAAUUGUCCGCUCCAGAAUCGGGUUCAGAUGUCUUUGUUUGGUCUGCUUGUGUGUGUUUCACACUUAAAAGACACCUCAGGAACAGACAACUUGAUCUCCCUCUUCAUCUGCAGGCUCUCCUGCAGUUUCUUCCAAUGUCGCUUUACCCUCUGAGGACGCUGCAAAGUGACCUAAACUGCC